GUGUUCACAAAUAAAUCCUGAAUUGGAUUUUCCAUCAUCUCAACACACAUAAACAAACAUGCAAUCAUUUUAUGACAGAAUUUGAGAUGGAAAUUUGGGUAAAACCAAAUUAUGUUUAAGUUUGCAAGUUAGACAUAUAUAUCAGUUUAUCGAUAUUCAAUUGAUACCGUACAAAUAUUUAAAUAAUAUUGGACAAGCAUAUCCAUCAACACUUGUGGUCAUUUAAUCCCUAAAGAUGGAUUACUAUCCAUUUAGACCCUGGGAUGAUACACGUAGUGCCAACAAAUGGUAUUGGCUUACUAAUCCCCAC
rnacentral:lncRNA from 1 species